GCGUCUGUAGCUCAGUUGGUUAGAGCACCACCUUGACAUGGUGGGGGUCGAUGGUUCGAGUUCAUUCAGACGCACCA
rnacentral:tRNA from 3 species